UCUCCCCUAACUUUUUACUCCUCCCAGUCCCAAUAUGUUCUCUCUAGCCCUGCAGGAACCGAGGGAUCUGUACUUUGAUGAUGCCUGCUGAUGUUGAGCAGAUAGAAAUAAUUCAAAAAUGGAGAGUUCCUGGUGAGGAGGGGUUUUCGUUUCAUUAGGACCAGUUCAUCCAUCAUCCUACAUGGGUUUAUUCUGCCACUGGCUCGUGGAAGAUAGAAGAUACAUACGGGUAAUCCCCAUCUUCUCUGACGUAGCAGGCAUUAUCCACAACCCAAAGCACUCUACAAAGCUGAGCAUCAUUAUAUCCACCUGAGAGAGGGGGAAACUGCAUUGCAGAGAGGAGUCACUUGGCCAAGGUCACACAGCAGCCUCCUAGAAAUUGGUGCAGCACACAGGCGACCUAAUGCUAACACUUACAUGGUUACAUGCACCACAGGAUACUGCUUGAGUCUCCAGUCAAUGGGAGCUGCAGGGGCUCAGUACCUCUGAAAUCAGGCCAAAAGCAACUUCAAAACGGUUUUGUAACCGGAACUGAUAUCUUUUAUCCCUUUAAAAAUCCAAAAGGCCACUUUUGCGGGCCUGUAGCCUUGGCUCCAACUUCACUUAUUUGCCUCUCUUUCAUCCCAGCUGCAGCUCUUCAGGAUUUAUCUCUCUGGUUAACUUCCCCUUUCAUAAUAUUAGCACAGUUGAAACACUUGCCUUCCUGUUGCAGGCAGUGAUUAUAUAGCAA